rnacentral:misc_RNA from 1 species
GGGGGGUUUACUUAUGCAUAUUCUCCAAAACUAUCAAAUCUUAAAAACCGACAAAAAAAAUGCGUAACCAAAGACAACUUUCACCAAAACCCUAAAACCCAGCAGCAGCAAAAUAAUCAAAAUCCCAAAAGAAUCAAACCCUUAAGGCUCCGUUUAGUUUACAACAGAAACGAAAUGAGAAUUUGAAUCCCAUUCGAUUCCCCUAUUUAAGAUGCUGAUUUUUGGAAAUUAAAUAUGCGGCCAAAUGCCCCAAAAACUUGCUAGAAAUUGUAUAACCUUAAAUUUUGAUGGUACUCGAAUUCCGCUACUAUUAUCUAUCAGGCGUCUGGCUUUUGCCACUCCAACCCCAAGCACCCACGCCCAGCGCAGCUCCGUCCUCUGCACUGACGCAACCAACAUAUCGAGUCAUUCACCAAGCAAUUAAGACUCAUUGACACAUGGAUAGAUGCCAAAUACACACACCCCCAACGAAGGAAAGCGAGCAAGUGAAAGAGAGAGAGAGCACUUACCAGGAGAAACAAGCGGGGACUAGCUCAGCUGGGUGUGCAAAUUUGAGCGAUGAGGAAAAGCGAGUCUCCUACCCUAAGCGCUUUGAGGCUCAAUAAUUGGUCGGGCGUGAUCGGAAGCAUUUCUUUGUGCAGCCGUUCAGACGAAGGCCCAAUCCGACGUCGGUUUAGGAAAAACGGAUGACGCAUUGUUGAUCAAAUUUUACUUUUUACACAAAACAUUUUAUGUUACUUUUGAAAUAUUUUUAAAGUAAUUUUAAUUAUAUUUA